rnacentral:rRNA from 1 species
UACGAAGGGGGCUAGCGUUGCUCGGAAUCACUGGGCGUAAAGCGCACGUAGGCGGAUCCUUAAGUCGGGGGUGAAAUCCUGGAGCUCAACUCCAGAACUGCCUUCGAUACUGAGGAUCUCGAGUCCGGGAGAGGUGAGUGGAACUGCGAGUGUAGAGGUGAAAUUCGUAGAUAUUGGGAAGAACACCGGUGGCGAAGGCGGCUCUCUGGGCCGAUACUGACGCUGAGGAGCGAAAGCGUGGGGAGCGAACAGG